CCUACGGGCGGCAGCAGUGAGGAAUAUUGGUCAAUGGGCGCGAGCCUGAACCAGCCAAGUAGCGUGAAGGAUGACUGCCCUACGGGUUGUAAACUUCUUUUAUAAAGGAAUAAAGUGAGGCACGUGUGCCUUUUUGUAUGUACUUUAUGAAUAAGGAUCGGCUAACUCCGUGCCAGCAGCCGCGGUAAUACGGAGGAUCCGAGCGUUAUCCGGAUUUAUUGGGUUUAAAGGGAGCGUAGAUGGGUUGUUAAGUCAGUUGUGAAAGUUUGCGGCUCAACCGUAAAAUUGCAAUUGAUACUGGCAGUCUUGAGUGCACACAGGGAUGCCGGAAUUCAUGGUGUAGCGGUGAAAUGCUUAGAUAUCAUGAAGAACUCCGAUCGCGAAGGCAAGUGUCCGGGGUGCAACUGACGCUGAGGCUCGAAAGUGCGGGUAUCAAACAGGAUUAGAUACCCUUGUAGUC
rnacentral:rRNA from 1 species